rnacentral:rRNA from 1 species
GACGAACGCUGGCGGCGUGCCUAAUACAUGCAAGUCGAGCGGGCCUCCGGAGGUGCUUGCACCUCCGGAAGGCCAGCGGCGGACGGGUGAGUAACACGUGGGCAACCUGCCUUUGAGGCCGGGAUAACACCGGGAAACCGGUGCUAAUACCGGAUACGUCCUCUUUCGCGCCUGCGAGAGGGGAGAAAGACGGUCUUUAAGGCCGUCGCUCAAAGAGGGGCCCGCGGCGCAUUGGCUGGUUGGUGGGGUAAGGGCCUACCAAGGCGACGAUGCGUUGCCGACCUGAGAGGGUGAUCGGCCACACUGGGACUGAGACACGGCCCAGACUCCUGCGGGAGGCAGCAGUAGGGAAUCAUCCGCAAUGGGCGAAAGCCUGACGGUGCAACGCCGCGCGAGUGAGGAAGGUUUUCGGAUCGUAAAGCUCUGUUGUGAGGGAAGAACAGCUUCCGGAGGAAAUGCCGGAGGUUUGCCGGUACCUCACCAGAAAGCCCCGGCUAACUACGUGCCAGCCGCCGCGGUAA